rnacentral:rRNA from 1 species
GGGAGCACGCUUAGGCGUGUGACUGCGUACCUUUUGUAUAAUGGGUCAGCGACUUAUAUUCUGUAGCAAGGUUAACCGAAUAGGGGAGCCGAAGGGAAACCGAGUCUUAACUGGGCGUUAAGUUGCAGGGUAUAGACCCGAAACCCGGUGAUCUAGCCAUGGGCAGGUUGAAGGUUGGGUAACACUAACUGGAGGACCGAACCGACUAAUGUUGAAAAAUUAGCGGAUGACUUGUGGCUGGGGGUGAAAGGCCAAUCAAACCGGGAGAUAGCUGGUUCUCCCCGAAAGCUAUUUAGGUAGCGCCUCGUGAAUUCAUCUCCGGGGGUAGAGCACUGUUUCGGCAAGGGGGUCAUCCCGA